CGGAUAAGAGUCCAGUGGGACACAGGCAGC
rnacentral:piRNA from 1 species